CAUGAAGCUGGAAUCGCUAGUAAUCGCGAAUCAGAAUGUCGCGGUGAAUACGUUCCCGGGUCUUGUACACACCGCCCGUCACACCAUGGGAGUCGGAAAUGCCCGAAGUCAGUGACCUAACCGAAAGGGAGGAGCUGCCGAAGGUGGAGCCGGUAACUGGGGUGAAGUCGUAACAAGGUACC
rnacentral:rRNA from 1 species